UACGUAGGGGGCAAGCGUUAUCCGGAUUUACUGGGUGUAAAGGGAGCGUAGACGGCGCGGCAAGUCUGAAGUGAAAGGCAGGGGCUUAACCCCUGAACUGCUUUGGAAACUGCCAUGCUAGAGUGCUGGAGAGGUAAGUGGAAUUCCUAGUGUAGCAGUGAAAUGCGUAGAUAUUAGGAGGAACACCAGUGGCGAAGGCGGCUUACUGGACAGUAACUGACGUUGAGGCUCGAAAGCGUGGGGAGCAAACAGG
rnacentral:rRNA from 1 species